GAGUUUGAUUAUGGCUCAGGACGAACGCUGGCGGCGUGCCUAAUACAUGCAAGUAGAACGCUGAAGGAAUAGCUUGCUAUUCUGGAAGAGUUGCGAACGGGUGAGUAACGCGUAGGUAACCUACCUCAUAGCGGGGGAUAACUAUUGGAAACGAUAGCUAAUACCGCAUAAGAAUACUUAUUGCAUGAUAAGUAUUUAAAAGGAACAACUGUUUCACUGUGAGAUGGACCUGCGUUGUAUUAGCUAGUUGGUAAGGUAACGGCUUACCAAGGCGACGAUACAUAGCCGACCUGAGAGGGUGAUCGGCCACACUGGGACUGAGACACGGCCCAGACUCCUACGGGAGGCAGCAGUAGGGAAUCUUCGGCAAUGGGGGCAACCCUGACCGAGCAACGCCGCGUGAGUGAAGAAGGUUUUCGGAUCGUAAAGCUCUGUUGUCAGCCAAGAAUGUAUGUGAGAG
rnacentral:rRNA from 1 species